UACAGGUGUAGCUCAAUGGUAGAGUGUUUGCUUAGCAUGCAGAAGGCCCAGGGUUUGAUCCUCAGGACUGCAA
rnacentral:tRNA from 1 species